rnacentral:lncRNA from 1 species
UUUUUUUUUUGAUAAGUAAUAUUUUAUUUCAUAAAGCCGAACUAAAGAAUACAAGCACACAAACUGUGGAAAAGAGACCACACUCCAACACUCUGAUUACAUUGGUUGUACUUGUCCUUUAAUGACCUCCUCCCAUCUACUGACCAAGUCCAAAAAGAUGAACCUCCUUCUUCUGAUCUAAUUUGCACUCCAGAACCAAAUCGUAGCCUUGAUGUCCCUAAUAAUCUGCUCCUCCUUGAAAGGCUUGUUGCUAAAAGUCCUUUGAUUCCUAGUUUUCCAUAGAAUCCAAAUAGUCGCAUAAGGGAGCAAUCUCCAGACUUUGUUACCCCACUCCUGUGGGCACCCUUUAGGCCACACCUUCAGCCACUCCACCACUGAAUCUACCCCCAGAAUCUGUGCAUACGCACCUACCAUGCAUUGGACUGAGCAUGAUGCUCCAGAUUUUCAGACUCACAGCACAAUGAAGGAACAAAUGAGGGAUGCUCUCAUUUAAGGUACCACACAUUCUACAGACAGGAGACACCAGGGUACCCCUAUGAAUGAGGUAAUCCGCUGUCAAUGUCCUAUCCAGCAGCAGUGACCAG